ACCAACUUAUGCUUGAUCUUCUUUAAUCUAACUUGGUGAAGUUAGUGGGAGGAUUAAGGUUAACUGGUUAAGUCUUUUCUUAUCUCUCAAUUCAACUAAUUAAAUCCUCUAAAAUUGUUAGGUCUCUAAAAUGAAAUAGUUAUGGUGAUAACUAGAUCAUAGCCUCCUACUAAGUUAGAUGAUAAUGAGUCCAAUAAUUUAAAUGAUCA
rnacentral:lncRNA from 1 species